UACGAAGGGGGGCUAGCGUUGUUUCGGGAUUUACUGGGCGUAAAGCGCACGUAGGCGGAUCGAUCAGUCAGGGGUGAAAUCCCGGGGCUCAACCCCGGAACUGCCUUUGAUACUGCGAAUCUCGAGUCCGGAAGAGGUGAGUGGAAUUCCUAGUGUAGAGGUGAAAUUCGUAGAUAUUAGGAAGAACACCAGUGGCGAAGGCGGCUCACUGGUCCGGUACUGACGCUGAGGUGCGAAAGCGUGGGGAGCAAACAGG
rnacentral:rRNA from 1 species